rnacentral:rRNA from 3 species
GCAUAUCAAUAAGCGGAGGAAAAGAAACCAACAGGGAUUGCCUCAGUAACGGCGAGUGAAGCGGCAAGAGCUCAAAUUUGAAAGCUGGCCCCCUCGGGGUCCGCAUUGUAAUUUGCAGAGGAUGCUUCGGGAGUGGCCCCCAUCUAAGUGCCCUGGAACGGGCCGUCAUAGAGGGUGAGAAUCCCGUCUGGGAUGGGGUGCCCACGCCCGUGUGAAGCUCCUUCGACGAGUCGAGUUGUUUGGGAAUGCAGCUCUAAAUGGGUGGUAAAUUUCAUCUAAAGCUAAAUACUGGCCGGAGACCGAUAGCGCACAAGUAGAGUGAUCGAAAGAUGAAAAGCACUUUGAAAAGAGAGUUAAACAGCACGUGAAAUUGUUGAAAGGGAAGCGCUUGCGACCAGACUCGCCCACGGGGUUCAGCCGGCAUUCGUGCCGGUGUACUUCCCCGCGGGCGGGCCAGCGUCGGUUUGGGCGGCCGGUCAAAGGCCCUUGGAAUGUACCGCCCCCCGGGGCGGCUUAUAGCCAAGGGUGCCAUGCGGCCAGCCCGGACCGAGGAACGCGCUUCGGCUCGGACGCUGGCAUAAUGGUCGUAAGCGACCCGUCUUGAAACACGGACC